UCAACCCUAUAAAAUCAAAUCCAUGACCAAAUAGACUUCAAUAACCAUCAUUAAUAAAGGCAUAAGAAAGUCAAGAAAAAGGUCAAAAUAAAAUAAAUAAAGUGUGAAAUAAAAUACAUGGUCAAAAAAUAAUCAAGAUGUGUUUAGAAAAUAUUUUGAUUAAAAGUAAAAUAAGUGGUGAGAUAAAUAAAAUGAAAAUGAAAGAAAAUGGAAAAAAAAUAAGAAAAUGGGAGAAAAGGAAAUGGGA
rnacentral:lncRNA from 1 species